UGUAUAAAAAGUAUAAUAACUGACUGAGCAACCAAGUUUUUGUCCAUUUCUCGGCUUUCCAUGGGCCUCCUACAAAACGGAGAUCAUGUUGGCUGUGCUAAUGCAAUCAUUUUUCACUCACAUUGAAAGUGUUAAACAGUUAAGACAAAACUGAAUAAAAUCACUUAGAAAAUUUCAAAAAUCUGUGCGGACAAAACCUAAAGGUAAGCGAGAUGUUCUAAAAUAUGCAAGUUUUUCUGAAGUUUUGACAGUCUUCUAGAUCAUGCCUUUGCGACGAAGCAUUAGGAAUGAACUUGCUGCCACCCAAGGUUAUACAAGUAGCGCCGUAAAACGUCCUGCAACCCACCGUGCUGCCACCGCCACCCGAAAUGCUACUAGUAGCGCCGUAAAACGUCCUGCAACCGACUGCAUAAGGAAUCGGCAUGCUGCCACCGCCACCCGAAAUGCUACUAGUAGCGCCGUACAAUGUCCUGCAACCCACCUUGAUGUUAGUGCUGCUGAACAGCGUUUUCACCUUGAAGCUCGACAAAUGUAUUGGCGGAUGAAUGCAUAUGACACUGAACUUCAAAAUAUCGCCUUAGUUCCACGGCCUCUACCCUGAAGCAGGCCACAGGGUCUGGAGCGUUUUCCUUCGCCGCAGUCUCGGGGCGGCGGCGCCAAAGGACGUCUUGGUCAUGAGCUGAACGAAAUAAUGCAUGCACAACUACGAUAUCCAUUGGGGUCGUCAGGAUUGGGAUCUGCUAGCAGCGACAUGAUCGAUAGGAGAACUUUAUCUACAGUCAAGAUAGACGACAAGUUGUGCGAUAGUAUGUCCAGGCACUUUGAAUUAGAUAUAUUAUUUCCACCAAACUACCCGCAUGCCCCGCCUCAUGUACAAUUUACGACUCAGAUUUACCACUGCAACAUAACCCCGCCACUGGUGAUCAGUGAUCAGUGAUCAGUGAUCAGUUAUCUGGAAAUAA
rnacentral:lncRNA from 1 species